rnacentral:lncRNA from 1 species
GCCUCUCCCGUCUUCUUGCUCUUGUUUGGGAAAGACGGUUUCGGUCCCUCAGCAAUUUCUUUUUAAAGUUGAUGUGUAGUUUCCAAAUCAAUCCCUCUGUUUUCCCUUUGAUUCACCCCAGCCCGUGUACAGAGGAAAUGUGAGGACUGUGUAUGCUAAGUAAACCAAAGAUUGAUCAGCACCCAAAUGGACACAUGUUCUUCUGUUAAACCAGCUGAAUUUUCUCCUGCUGUUCUCAUAGACAAAAGUCAAGAUGGAUCCCUUGGGCACUUAGAAUUUUUUUUCAGGCUGUUGGUUGGCCUUGCUAAAUCCACAAAUCUAAAAAAAAAUGGACUGUGGCCUUAGUGACACGCCAUCUUUAAACUUUCGUGUUUAACUUCCUUUCCUUCAAAACUCCCCAGACAAAUCUAGCACUCAUAUCGAACUCAGCAUAGUUUUCUUUGAGAAUGUGAAGAUUUUAAAUAGCCAAAGAUAGCAAUCCAAAUUGGUGUUGGUAUCUUUCCUACUUACCGGCCUGUGGGAUGUUAUUGUAAGGGCAGAGCGCCCUCUGCUGGAACGAUACUUUUAGCAAAUUAAUUUGCAGUGGGUCGCCACAGUGGGUCACCACUUCAACAGGUGCGUCUUACUUUUUCAUCCGUACCAUUCCUUCAAUAGUGGAGAAUUUGGCCAGCACUUAUCAAAUGAGGAGAGAAUGUCAUGAACUCUAAAGAGCUGUAGGAGACCUCUAAAAUGUCGCUGUGUUCUGUUGCUGUCCGGGAAGAUGCCUCCGACUGCGAUGUGUGCCGCAGAGGUCUGUGUGGCUUUGGCUUGGCUCCACUUCCUCCAGUGAAAUCGCGAAGGAAGAUCAAUAAAAGGACUUCUUCCGUGUGUGAAUGUAAAUGGUGUGAAAUAAAGCGUUUUUUUAUGUGUACAG